rnacentral:rRNA from 1 species
GAAAGUAAGUAAGGGCGUAUGGGGGAUGCCUAGGCUCUUGGAGGCUAAGAAGGACGUGGUAAGCUGCGAAAAGCUGCGGGGAUUUGCAAACGAGACUCGAUCCGCAGAUAUCCGAAUGGGACAACCCGGCAGGUAGAAGACCUGUCACACCGCGAGGUGAGCUAACCCUCUGAACUGAAACAUCUAAGUAGGAGGAGGAAAAGAAAGAAACAUCGAUUUCCAAAGUAGCGGCGAGCGAAAUGGAAGAAGCCCAAACCGAUAUUGUUACGGCAAUAUCGGGGUUGUAGGACUGCAAUAUUCAAUUAACAAUGAACUGGAAUGGUCUGGAAAGUCCAUCCAUAGAGAGUGAAAGGCUCGUACAGGUAAGUUUGUUAUGCGAAAGCAGUAUCCUGAGUAUGGCGGGACACGAGGAAUCCUGUCAGAAUCAGCCGGGACCACCCGGUAAGGCUAAAUACUCCCAAGAGACCGAUAGUGGACCAGUACUGUGAAGGAAAGGUGAAAAGAACCCCGAACAGGGGAGUGAAAUAGAACCUGAAACCAUACGCUUACAACCGGUCGGAGCAGCUUCGUGCUGUGACGGCGUGCCUAUUGAAUAAUGAGCCUACGAGUUACUAAUCACUAGCGAGGUUAAGUGCAAGGAUGCACGGAGCCGAAGCGAAAGCGAGUCUGAACAGGGCGUUUAGUUAGUGGUUGUAGACGCGAAACCUUGCGAUCUACCCUUGAGCAGGUUGAAGGUUGGGUAAAACCAACUGGAGGACCGAACGAAUAAGCGUUGAAAAGCUUCUCGAUGACUUGAGGGUAGGGGUGAAAGGCUAAUCAAGCUGGGAAAUAGCUCGUACUCCCCGAAAUGCCUUUUGGGGCAGCGUUGUAAUAAAGAGUCUACUGGAGGUAGAGCUACUGAUUGGAUGCGGGGGCUUCACCGCCUACCAAAUCCUGACAAACUCCGAAUGCCAGUAGUAUGAUUUACAGCAGUGAGUGACUGGGUGCUAAUGUCCAGUCGCAAAAGAGGAACAACUCAGACCAGCAACUAAGGUCCCGAAGAAUAUGCUAAGUUGAUCUAACGAUGUUUUGUUGCAGAGACAGCUAGGAUGUUAGCUUGGAAGCAGCUAUUCAUUCAAAGAGUGCGUAACAGCUCACUAGUCGAGCGACAGAGCGUGGAUAAUAAACGGGCAUCAAGCAUAUCACCGAAGUUCUGGGCGCGAGAGCGCGGUAGGGGAGCAUUCCAUUCAGCGUCGAAGCAGUUUCGUGAGGAAUUGUGGAGCGUAUGGAAAAGCAAAUGUAGGCAUGAGUAACGAUAAUGCGGGAGAGUAACCCGCACACCGCAAGACCAAGGUUUCCUGAUCAACGCUAAUCGGAUCAGGGUUAGUCGGGUCCUAAGGGUAAGCCGAACGGCGAUCUCGAUGGAUAAUCGGUUAAUAUUCCGAUACUAACAUAUACCUCGAUGGAGAGACGAAGGAACGUAAGUGCCGCCACCUGACGGAAUAGGUGGUUAAAGGGCGUAGAUAUAGGGGCAGAUUAAGAGUUAGUCCUUGCUGAAACCUGACAGUACAGAGAGCCUACGGGCAAUUUGAUAGAGCACCCAAGUCGACUUCCGAGAAAAUCUUCUAAGUUAUAGUAUAUGUUACCCGUACCGUAAACCGACACAGGUGGUCGAGGAGAGUAUCCUAAGGUGCUCGAGUGAAUCACGGUUAAGGAACUAGGCAAAUUAACCCCGUAACUUCGGGAAAAGGGGUCCCUAUGAAAGUAGGGCGCAGCGAAGAGGUCCAGGCGACUGUUUAUCAAAAACACAGGGCUCUGCAAAUUCGAAAGAAGACGUAUAGGGCCUGACACCUGCCCGGUGCUGGAAGGUUAAGAGGGGAUGUCAUCGCAAGAGAAGCAUUGAAUCGAAGCCCCAGUAAACGGCGGCCGUAACUAUAACGGUCCUAAGGUAGCGAAAUUCCUUGUCGGGUAAGUUCCGACCUGCACGAAUGG